rnacentral:rRNA from 1 species
AUUGAACGCUGGCGGCAUGCCUUACACAUGCAAGUCGAACGGCAGCACGGAGCUUGCUCUGGUGGCGAGUGGCGAACGGGUGAGUAAUAUAUCGGAACGUACCCAAGAGUGGGGGAUAACGUAGCGAAAGUUACGCUAAUACCGCAUACGAUCUAAGGAUGAAAGUGGGGGCUCGCAAGACCUCAUGCUCCUGGAGCGGCCGAUAUCUGAUUAGCUAGUUGGUGAGGUAAAGGCUCACCAAGGCAUCGAUCAGUAGCUGGUCUGAGAGGACGACCAGCCACACUGGAACUGAGACACGGUCCAGACUCCUACGGGAGGCAGCAGUGGGGAAUUUUGGACAAUGGGGGCAACCCUGAUCCAGCAAUGCCGCGUGAGUGAAGAAGGCCUUCGGGUUGUAAAGCUCUUUUGUCAGGGAAGAGACGGUGAAGGCUAAUAUCCUUUGCUAAUGACGGUACCUGAAGAAUAAGCACCGGCUAACUACGUGCAGCCGCCGCCGUAA